ACGCUCGACACCUACGGGAGGCAGCAGUGGGAAUAUUGCACAAUGGGGGAAACCCUGAUGCAGCGACGCCGCGUGGAGGAAGAAGGUCUUCGGAUUGUAAACUCCUGUUGUUGGGAAAAGAGGAUGGUACCCAACAAGGAAGUGACGGCUAACUACGUGCCAACAGCCGCGGUAAUCUGAGCGGGCUGGCAAGGC
rnacentral:rRNA from 1 species